rfam:Triticum aestivum genome assembly, contig: Triticum_aestivum_CS42_TGACv1_scaffold_404517_5BL
CAGGUACUCCCUUCGUUCGGAUUUACUUGUUAUAGAAAUGGAUGUAUCUAAAAGUACUUUUAGAUACAUCCAUUUUUACGACAAGUAAGUUCGAACGGAGGGAGUAGCUG